rnacentral:misc_RNA from 1 species
GAUGAAGAACGCAGCGAAAUGCGAUAAGUAAUGCGAAUUGCAGAAUUUCCGUGAGUCAUCGAAUCUUUGAACGCACAUUGCGCCCACUGGUAUUCCGGUGGGCAUGCCUGUUCGAGCGUCAUUUCACCACUCAAGCCUCGCUUGGUAUUGGGCAACGCGGUCCGCCGCGUGCCUCAAAUCGACCGGCUGGGUCUUCUGUCCCCUAAGCGUUGUGGAAACUAUUCGCUAAAGGGUGUUCGGGAGGCUACGCCGUAAAACAACCCCAUUUCUAAGGUUGACCUCGGAUCAGGUAGGGAUACCCGCUGAACUUAAGCAUAUCAAUAAGCGGAGGA